rnacentral:rRNA from 1 species
GACGAACGCUGGCGGCGUGCUUAACACAUGCAAGUCGAACGGAAAGGCCUGGUUUUCGUUGUGGACUCGGGGUGCUAGAGUGGCGAACGCGCGAGUGACACGUGCGUUUUCUUCUGCCAUAUCUGCAAUAAACUGGGGCAACUACGUCUAAUUACCGAUUGCUCCGCAGGGUGGUGUGGGUGGUUGAGACGGUUUUGGUUGUGGUCGCGGAUGAGCUCGCGGUUUAUCAGCUUGUUGGUGGGGUAGUGGUCUACCAAGGCGGCGACGGGUAGCCGGCCUGAGAGCGUGGACGGCCACAUUGGGACUGAGAUACGGCCCAGACUCCUACGGGAGGCAGCAGUGGGGAAUAUUGCACAGUGGGCGGAAGCCUGAUGCAGCGACGCCGCGUGGGGGAUGACGGCCUUCGGGUUGUAAACUCCUUUCGACCGCGAGGAAGCCACCUGGUUGGAAGGGUGGUGACGGUAGUGGUAGAAGAAGCACCGGCUAACUACGUG